GAAAUGCGAUACGUAAUGUGAAUUGCAGAAUUCAGUGAAUCAUCGAGUCUUUGAACGCACAUUGCGCCCCCUGGUAUUCCGGGGGGGCAUGCCUGUCCGAGCGUCAUUGCUGCCCUCAAGCACGGCUUGUGUGUUGGGCCCCCGUCCCCCCCCCAAGGGGACGGGCCCGAAAGGCAGCGGCGGUACCGUGUCCGGUCCUCGAGCGUAUGGGAAGCAACUUUUUGUCACCCGCUCCUGUAGGUCCGGCCGGCGGCCUGCCCAACCCCAACCUUUUUUUCAACCAGGUUGACCUCGGAUCAGGUAGGGAUACCCGCUGAACUUAAGC
rnacentral:misc_RNA from 1 species